rnacentral:tRNA from 1 species
GCCAAGGUAGCUCAGUUGGUUAGAGCGCCAGACUCAUAAUCUGGAGGUCGCGGGUUCGAAUCCCGCCCUUGGCA